AGAGGAAAACCCAGAUCAGAGCAGAAGACUUUUCACUCUGCAGGGGAGCGCUGCCAGCAUGACACGUGUUAGCUUGCUGUGGGCAGUCGUGGUCUCCACCUGUCUCGAAUCCGGCAUGGCCCAGACAGUCACUCAGUCUCAACCAGAGAUGUCUGUGCGGGAGGCAGAGACCGUGACCCUGAGCUGCACAUAUGACACCAGUGAGAGUAAUUAUUAUUUGUUCUGGUACAAGCAGCCUCCCAGCAGGCAGAUGAUUCUAAUUAUUCACCAAGAAGCUUAUAAGCAACAGAAUGCAACGGAGAACCGCUUCUCUGUGAACUUCCAGAAAGCAGCCAAAUCCUUCAGUCUCAAGAUCUCAGACUCACAGCUGGGGGACGCCGCGAUGUAUUUCUGUGCUUUCAUGAAGCACACAAUGAGAUGAGCAGCAGGGAGAGGCUUACA